AACGUAGGAGACAAACGUUAUCCGGAGUUACUGGGCGUAAAGGGCGUGUAGGCGGUCUGUUAAGUCUGGCGUGAAAGCUCUCGGCUAAACCGGGAGAGGUCGUUGGAUACUGGCAGACUAGAGGACGGUAGAGGCGUGUGGAAUUCCGGGUGUAGUGGUGAAAUGCGUAGAGAUCCGGAGGAACACCAGUGGCGAAGGCGGCCGCCUGGGCCAGUCCUGACGCUGAGCCGCGAAAGCGUGGGGAGCGAUCCGG
rnacentral:rRNA from 1 species